rnacentral:piRNA from 1 species
UCUGAUAGUACCAUGCCUCAAAACAUUAG